UGGGGCCGGCGGCGUGCUAUACAUGCAAGUCGAGCGAAUCUGAGGGAGCUUGCUCCCAAAGAUUAGCGGCGGACGGGUGAGUAACACGUGGGCAACCUGCCUGUAAGACUGGGAUAACUCCGGGAAACCGGGGCUAAUACCGGAUAAUAUCUAUUUAUACAUAUAAUUAGAUUGAAAGAUGGUUCUGCUAUCACUUACAGAUGGGCCCGCGGCGCAUUAGCUAGUUGGUGAGGUAACGGCUCACCAAGGCGACGAUGCGUAGCCGACCUGAGAGGGUGAUCGGCCACACUGGGACUGAGACACGGCCCAGACUCCUACGGGAGGCAGCAGUAGGGAAUCUUCCGCAAUGGACGAAAGUCUGACGGAGCAACGCCGCGUGAGUGAUGAAGGUUUUCGGAUCGUAAAACUCUGUUGUUAGGGAAGAACAAGUAUCGGAGUAACUGCCGGUACCUUGACGGUACCUAACCAGAAAGCCACGGCUAACUACGUGCCAGCAGCCGCGGUAAUACGUAGGUGGCAAGCGUUGUCCGGAAUUAUUGGGCGUAAAGCGCGCGCAGGCGGUUCCUUAAGUCUGAUGUGAAAGCCCACGGCUCAACCGUGGAGGGUCAUUGGAAACUGGGGAACUUGAAUGCACAAGAGGAAAGUGGAAUUCCAAGUGGAGCGGUGAAAUGGGUAGAGAUUUGGAGGAACACCAGUGGCGAAGGGACUUUCUGGGCUGUAACUGACACUCAAACGCGGGAUCGUGCGGAGGAUACAGGAGUACAUACCCUGGGGGUCCACACGUUAGAC
rnacentral:rRNA from 1 species